rnacentral:misc_RNA from 1 species
AAAAAUGUCAUAGCAUCAAAAUUAAGUAUUAUGAUCAACUGAUUUUGCAGAUGUUUCAUAAUACAUAUUAAAUAGUAGAAAAUUUGAUCUUAUGAUGCAUACAAAAUGUUACACCAAAAUAGGGAUGUAAAACUAAUGUUCAAAUGCAAAUUCCUGGGUCCAAGAAUAUUAUAGUUCUUUCAUUCUUCCUGAAAGCAAUCCAUUUUCACAUCCGUAACAUCGAGUUGCAGUAUCUCUGUUCUGCAACCAAGAAUUGAACCGAUACUAGGUUGAGUGC